AAUUCAAGUGUCUGGAAUUAGAGCCACGGGGGAGCCCUCACAGUACGCAGGGCACACCUCCACACUGCCCGAAUUCCUCCUCUUUCGUAACACAGGAUUCUAUUACUGGCUGCGUGAAUGGGUGGGCUGCUUUGGGAAGUUCGUCCCGUGACAGAGGAGAGGGAGACACCCACUAACCUGAGAGAUCAGCUGGAUCAGCCCUGGAUAUCAACAGUCGGCAGACCCCCAGCUGGAUCACCCACACGUCACAGAGCCAGCCGCGUCUCAAAGGAGACACCUCCUGUGUGGCUAAAUGAUAAUCAGAGAAAAACAGAAAACACUGAUCUACGCAGAAGAAGACUGUCAAGCUGACACAUGAGGGAGAAACUGACUUUCAUAAGGCUAAUUAAUUUAAAGUCUUUGGAGUAUGAUCUAAAUGCUAAUCCGAUUGCAGACAUCUUGUAAAAAGAAAAAAAAAACUUCAGUAAACGGGCAUUUUCCUGGAAUCUGGGUAGUGGUUUUUUACCUACAAGUCUUGAACUUCCUUUCUCAUGAAGAGUUGCCUGCUACAUACAGAUAAAGCAUUGCAAAACCGAAACUGUCGCUUAUCCACGAGCUAUGGCCUCUCUCAACUUCAGCCGCAAGAAUAAAAACAGGUGCAGUUCCUGCA
rnacentral:lncRNA from 1 species